UGGGGAAUCUUGGACAAUGGGGGCAACCCUGAUCCAGCCAUGCCGCGUGAGUGAUGAAGGCCUUAGGGUCGUAAAGCUCUUUCGCCUGUGAAGAUAAUGACGGUAGCAGGUAAAGAAACCCCGGCUAACUCCGUGCCAGCAGCCGCGGUAAUACGGAGGGGGUUAGCGUUGUUCGGAAUUACUGGGCGUAAAGCGCACGUAGGCGGACCAGAAAGUUGGGGGUGAAAUCCCGGGGGCUCAACCCCGGAACUGCCUCCAAAACUAUUGGUCUAGAGUUCGAGAGAGGUGAGUGGAAUUCCAAGUGUAGAGGUGAAAUUCGUAGAUAUUUGGAGGAACACCAGUGGCGAAGGCGGCUCACUGGCUCGAUACUGACGCUGAGGUGCGAAAGUGUGGGGAGCAAACAGGAUUAGAUACCCUGGUAGUCCACGCCGUAAAACGAUGAGUGCUAGAUGUUGGGAUUUUCGGAUUUCAGUGUCGCAGCUAACGCAUUAAGCACUCCGCCUGGGGAGUACGGCCGCAAGGUUAAAACUC
rnacentral:rRNA from 1 species